rnacentral:rRNA from 1 species
GAUGAACGCUGGCGGCGUGCCUAAUACAUGCAAGUCGAGCGAACGGACGAGAAGCUUGCUUCUCUGAUGUUAGCGGCGGACGGGUGAGUAACACGUGGAUAACCUACCUAUAAGACUGGGAUAACUUCGGGAAACCGGAGCUAAUACCGGAUAAUAUUUUGAACCGCAUGGUUCAAAAGUGAAAGACGGUCUUGCUGUCACUUAUAGAUGUAUCCGCGCUGCAUUAGCUAGUUGGUAAGGUAACGGCUUACCAAGGCAACGAUGCAUAGCCGACCUGAGAGGGUGAUCGGCAACACUGGAACUGAGACACGGUCCAGACUCCUACGGGAGGCAGCAGUAGGGAAUCUUGCGCAAUGGGCGAAAGCCUGACGGAGCAACGCCGCGUGAGUGAUGAAGGUCUUCGGAUCGUAAAACUCUGUUAUUAGGGAAGAACAUAUGUGUAAGUAACUGUGCACAUCUUGACGGUACCUAAUCAGAAAGCCACGGCUAACUACGUG